ACAUAAAAAAAAAAAAAAACAAUUUGGACAGUUUUUCAUUUCAGAAGUCAGAACAGUCGUUGUCUCAUCAAAAAAAAAAAAAAAACACCCACCGAUCAAAAUUUUCAUACUCGAUCGAUCUAAGUCUAAUUUACGAAAUCUCAUGUAAUUCUCUAUUUCUUCUCCGUUUUGUAAAUUGUGAAUUCUUUGAAGAGUGUUCUUGGCGAAACAACAUCAGGAAGCCGGAUUUUCUAUGGGUAAAGCUUCACUUGGAGCAACAUAAGAAUAUGGAGGCUAUCAAAUUUGUUCAUUGGAGCAAUGCCUCAAAUCUAUAUGUGAAAGGUUAGUGAGAUUAUCUUUUAUAGACUUUUGUUAUUAGAAUUUCAUAAUUACUUUCUGUUAUUGAGUGUAUUUGAUGUUAGUUCAUAUAGAAAAUUGUGUUUUCCCGUAGUAUGUUUCAAUAAAAGUACUUAAUAAGAUAUGGAAAGUUAUAAAAAUGUUGGUAUGCUUCUGCAAACGAAAUUGUUAACUUCAUAUAGGUUUGUCU